UCUAUAAGAGUAACUUCUACAAUCUCAGCCUAAAGAUUCUUAAGUUAUGAGUCUGUCAGUCAACUCAGACAGGUUCAUUGUUGUCAAACUGGUAGCGAGCCCUGCCUCCUUAAUCUGACAGAAAGGCUGUCACAGGUGAACUGAUUUCCAAGCAAGCAUGUACUUUCACACAUGAGCUUUAAGGAGGAGUGACACCAUGGGAAUUUGACCUGACGUGCCUGGUGGACAAGAGAUGGACUAGAAUCACAGUUUGUAGCUGUUAAAAUCUAAGGCUAUAUUCGGAGAAGUUUCCACCAAAGUGAAAAAAUGGCAGGACCACGAGCAUCUGAACUCAGGAUUGUGAUGUUUGGAAAAGUCAAAAUGAGAAGACAACUCUA